UGCAAGUCGGACGCGAAAGCCCCGCAAGGGGCUUGCAGUGUGGCGCACGGGUGAGUAACACGUGGAUAACCUGCCUGGCAGAGGGGACUAACCUCCCGAAAGGGGGGCUAAUGCCGCAUAAGACCUCUAGGCGCAAGUCUGGGGGUUUUUUUCCUGAGACCCGCUGGCAGAGGGGUCCGCGCCUGAUUAGCUAGUUGGUGAGGUAACGGCUCACCAAGGCUACGAUCAGUAGCCGUCCUGAGAGGGAGCACGGCCACACUGGAACUGAGACACGGUCCAGACUCCUACGGGAGGCAGCAGUGGGGAAUUUUUGGCAAUGGGGGCAACCCUGACCAAGCAACGCCGCGUGGGUGAGGAAGUACCUUGGUACGUAAAG
rnacentral:rRNA from 1 species